AGUGAACGCUGGCGGUAGGCCUAACACAUGCAAGUCGAACGGCAGCACAGGAGAGCUUGCUCUCUGGGUGGCGAGUGGCGGACGGGUGAGGAAUACAUCGGAAUCUACUCUGUCGUGGGGGAUAACGUAGGGAAACUUACGCUAAUACCGCAUACGACCUACGGGUGAAAGCAGGGGAUCUUCGGACCUUGGGCGAUUGAUGAGCCGAUGUCGGAUUAGCUAGUUGGCGGGGGAAAGGCCAACCAAGGGGACGAUCCGUAGCUGGUCUGAGAGGAUGAUCAGCCACACUGGAACUGAGACACGGUCCAGACUCCUACGGGAGGCAGCAGUGGGGAAUAUUGGACAAUGGGCGCAAGCCUGAUCCAGCCAUACCGCGUGGGUGAAGAAGGCCUUCGGGUUGUAAAGCCCUUUUGUUGGGAAAGAAAUCCAGCUGGCUAAUACCCGGUUGGGAUGACGGUACCCAAAGAAUAAGCACCGGCUAACUUCGUGCCAGCAGCCGCCGUAA
rnacentral:rRNA from 1 species